rnacentral:lncRNA from 1 species
GCUGAGCUGAGCUGGACACUUGGUUGUCAAUUCUGAAGAAUCUGUAAGGCAGGACAUUCUAAUAGCUUCAUUUUUGUUUUUUUUUUUUUUUUUUUUUUAGCUGCAGUUACCAUCCUCAAAUACAAAAGUAAUUGAUACUCAGCAAUGAAAGCUGCAUGUGCAUGUAGGGGAGAGAAGGAGGUUUCACCAGACUGACAAAUGGAGUCAUGGUUCUGGGAAGGAGCAGGGUGUUGGGUGCACAUUUGUCACCUGGGAAUACUACCAGCAAGCCUCAUAUUUUUUCUGCAAUAAAUGCUGGAAAGGAAAAAGAAAUGCUGAAAAUGAUGAAGUAAUUCCAAUUCUGCUGAUAGAGACCUGGAAAUGCACUAGGGAAAAAUGACAAGAGUGUAACACACUGCUGCUGAUUAUGUCAUAAUGAUUAUUUUAUGCAGUUUGAAGAAGACUCACUGUUCUAAAGAACCAGCAUCCAUUUCCAGGAAAGAGCAGGGAUUCUCCAUCCAUACCUCCAUGGGAUGAACCACAUUGAAAAUAAUGAUUUCCUUCUAAUAGCUUACUCUACAUUAUAUAAAGAAUUCCUUGGGAUUCUAAAAAAACCCUAAUAAUAUAGUAAUAAUAACAACAGAGGUUUGUUUUUGCUAUUUGUAGUCUAAUAUUCAGAUUGUGAGCAGCUGUUUUGGAAGGCAAGAUGAGUGAAUAGAUGUGAAGUCGUCUUAGAAAUGUCCAGGCUUCCAAAAGAAAUUUCACUUUUAAAAGAAAAUAGCCUAAUGUGAACCACAUUAGAAUCAGCACAUCUAAUCCUACGGAGAAAAAGUGACCAUGGCUGUCUACACAUAUAGGCAGGUCAUUCAAGCUCAUUCAAAAAUUCCACUUUCACUGGUGGUCUGUCUGUGUCCACAUGGUGACAAAUGGCCCCGGCAGGGUUUUUGAGGUGUUGGCACCACCAGUGAGUGCCAGAUGGAAUGUGGUGAAAGUUCUGAUUUGUACCUUUCAGACUAAAGGUACUUUCCAGAAUGGACGGGUCCUUCUGGCUGCCUUUUGUAAGUGCAGCCACAGGUAUUCUGUUGAAGCCUGUGGGUGAGAAAGACAUAAACAGGUGCUAUAAAUUUGUCAGACCAGGAAGCCACAGGCCGUUUAGUAAAUGGUAAACCCAAUGGCCCAAAAGAACAAAGGGGUCUCUUUUCAUCAGAAUGAUCAGGCUCAUUCAACAAAUAUUUAUUGAGCACCCACUUUCUGCCAGAUGGAAGAGCCACUGACAAGGCCUCUUAUUUAAAGAGUGCCUGAAGUGAGGAAGCAAACCCCCAAAUCAUCUGGGAUGGUAUGAACUGAACUCUGGACCGCAACAUGAUGGAAAGGAGGAGCUGGGGUCCCAAGGGCAGUCCAGACAACCUGAACCUGUGACACUCACCCUGCCCACACACUCUCAGAGCUGCAGCUUUCACGGGGGUGACAUGAAUGCUUGUAAAUGAGCUUGCUGAAUGGGAGACCAAGAACGAUGAUAUUGAGCUGUUACUACAUGCCAGACAUUUAACCCUUUCAUCCAGGUUAUCUCAAUCAUUCCUUACAGAAAGGCUUUUGAGAUGUCCUUGCAACUGGAGGUGCCAUAUGAUACAGUUCUGCCCAAAGACAAGAAAGUGAAUGUCUGUUGAGGGCUUCCUAUAAGGCCAAUACAUACAGGUGUUCCCAACAACAGACCCAACAAUGGCCCUCCAAAGGAAAUCCAGGAAAUGUGAACAUGGAGG